GUUAAUAUUCCCGUACUGCUGAUAACUGCGAUGGGGGGACGGAGAAGGCUAGGUGGGCCUCGCGACGGUUGUCGAGGUUCAAGUGCGUAGGUAGGUGAGUUAGGCAAAUCCGGCUUGCUAUAUACUGAGACACGAUGUCGAGACACCACGGUGUUGAAGUCAUUGAUGCCCUGCUUCCGGGAAAAGCCUCUAAGCUUCAGGUUAUCAGUAACCGUACCCCAAACCGACACAGGUGGUCGGGUAGAGAAUACCAAGGCGCUUGAGAGAACUCGGGUGAAGGAACUAGGCAAAAUGGUACCGUAACUUCGGGAGAAGGUACGCUGCCCGCGGUGAAGUCCCUGGCGGAUGGAGCUAUGGGCAGUCGCAGAUACCAGGUGGCUGCAACUGUUUAUUAAAAACAUAGCACUGUGCAAACUCGAAAGAGGACGUAUACGGUGUGACGCCUGCCCGGUGCUGGAAGGUUAAUUGAUGGGGUUAUCCUUAGGGAGAAGCUCUUGAUCGAAGCCCCAGUAAACGGCGGCCGUAACUAUAACGGUCCUAAGGUAGCGAAAUUCCUUGUCGGGUAAGUUCCGACCUGCACGAAUGGCGUAAUGAUGGCCACGCUGUCUCCACCCGAGACUCAGUGAAAUUGAAAUCGCAGUGAAGAUGCUGUGUACCCGCGGCUAGACGGAAAGACCCCGUGAACCUUUACUACAGCUUGGCACUGAACAUUGAGCCUACAUGUGUAGGAUAGGUGGGAGGCUUUGAAGCGGUGACGCCAGUUGCCGUGGAGCCAUCCUUGAAAUACCACCCUUGUAUGUUUGAUGUUCUAACUUAGCCCCAUUAUCUGGGGUGAGGACAGUGUCUGGUGGGUAGUUUGACUGGGGCGGUCUCCUCCCAAAGCGUAACGGAGGAGCACGAAGGUGGGCUAAUCACGGUCGGACAUCGUGAGGUUAGUGCAAUGGCAAAAGCCCGCUUGACUGCGAGAAUGACGGUUCGAGCAGGUGCGAAAGCAGGUCAUAGUGAUCCGGUGGUUCUGAAUGGAAGGGCCAUCGCUCAACGGAUAAAAGGUACUCCGGGGAUAACAGGCUGAUACCGCCCAAGAGUUCAUAUCGACGGCGGUGUUUGGCACCUCGAUGUCGGCUCAUCACAUCCUGGGGCUGAAGUCGGUCCCAAGGGUAUGGCUGUUCGCCAUUUAAAGUGGUACGCGAGCUGGGUUUAGAACGUCGUGAGACAGUUCGGUCCCUAUCUGCCGUGGGCGUUGGAGAAUUGAGAGGGGCUGCUCCUAGUACGAGAGGACCGGAGUGGACGAACCUCUGGUGUUCGGGUUGUCACGCCAGUGGCAUUGCCCGGUAGCUAAGUUCGGAAUUGAUAACCGCUGAAAGCAUCUAAGCGGGAAGCGAGCCUCGAGAUGAGUUCUCCCUAAGGCUAAAAGCCUUCUAAAGGGUUGUUGGAGACGACGACGUAGAUAGGUCAGGUGUGUAAGUGCUGUGAGGCAUUGAGCUAACUGAUACUAAUUGCCCGUGAGGCUUAACCCU
rnacentral:rRNA from 1 species